rnacentral:rRNA from 1 species
AUUAAGGCGCGCCGAUGGCAUGAGUUGGGACUCUAAAGUGACUGCCGGUGAAAACCGGAGGAAGGUGGGGAUGACGUCAAAUCACCUUAUCCUUAUGACCUGGGCUACACACGUGCUACAAUGGACGGUAUAAAGAGCUGCAAGACCGCGAGGUGGAGCUAAUCUCAUAAAACCGUUCUCAGUUCGGAUUGUAGGCUGCAACUCGCCUACAUGAAGCUGGAAUCGCUAGUAAUCGCGGAUCAGCAUGCCGCGGUGAAUACGUUCCCGGGCCUUGUACACACCGCCCGUCACACCACGAGAGUUUGUAACACCCGAAGUCGGUGGGGUAACCUUUUUGAACCCACCCGCCAAAGGGGGGACAAAUAAUGGGGGUAAAUCCUAACACAGGAUAACGUAAA